rnacentral:rRNA from 1 species
GACGAACGCUGGCGGCGUGCUUAACACAUGCAAGUCGAACGGAAAGGCCCUGCUUUUGUGGGGUGCUCGAGUGGCGAACGGGUGAGUAACACGUGAGUAACCUGCCCUUGACUUUGGGAUAACUUCAGGAAACUGGGGCUAAUACCGGAUAGGAGCUCCUGCUGCAUGGUGGGGGUUGGAAAGUUUCGGCGGUUGGGGAUGGACUCGCGGCUUAUCAGCUUGUUGGUGGGGUAGUGGCUUACCAAGGCUUUGACGGGUAGCCGGCCUGAGAGGGUGACCGGCCACAGUGGGACUGAGAUACGGCCCAGACUCCUACGGGAGGCAGCAGUGGGGAAUAUUGCACAAUGGGCGGAAGGCUGAUGCAGCAACGCCGCGUGCGGGAUGACGGCCUUCGGGUUGUAAACCGCUUUCGCCUGUGACGAAGCGUGAGUGACGGUAAUGGGUAAAGAAGCACCGGCUAACUACGUG